AGCAGAACAUGCAUUUUUGACCUUGUCUUACUAAUAAUUUUAUUUUGCAGGAGGAAGAGGAAGAAACAAAAGUAACUUCUCUCCUAGAUUUAAUUCUGACCUACCAGGAAGAACUGGUUGUUGAAGCCGAAGUACUGGAGUCUCUGGAGCCAGUAUCCACACAAUUCAUCCAUUCAUUCCUCAAGCAUGUGUUGAGCGUUUGGCGAUGCUUCAUGGUGUUGGACUCUGGGCAUUCACAGAUGAACACAUCUCACAAAAGGUGAAAAUGUGUAAAUCACGUGGGAUAGAGAACAUUCAGGGUUGAAAGUCAGAAUACAUGUUUGGUUAUAAUACUGCUUAUUAAGCAAGUAGAAAAUUAGAGUAAAUAUCAGAAUUCAGCCCUUUAAGAAGACAUACCUUCCAGAGAGCCUCAAAGGCAAGGUGGGCAUUUGAUGGCUUUAUCUGGGUACAUACACUGCAGGUUCACCGUGAGCAGGUGAGAGACAUGGUUAUACCUCUGAAAUGCUGCAAGUUCAUUUUUGAAGGAUUUGUCAUAGUGAAACAGGAAAAGUU
rnacentral:lncRNA from 1 species